AGGGUUUGAUCCUGGCUCAGAACGUACGCUGGCGGCACGCCUAACACAUGCAAGUCGAACGAAGUAGCAAUACUUAGUGGCAGACGGGUGAGUAACAUGUAGGUAUCUACCCUUUGGCCUGGAAUAACACGAGGAAACUUGUGCUAAUACUGGAUAAGUCUUUACGGAGAAAGCUUUAUGCACCAAUGGAUGAGCCUGCACUUGAUUAGUUUGUUGGUAGGGUAAUGGCCUACCAAGACUGUGAUCAAUAGCUGAUUUGAGAGGAUGAUCAGCCACAUUGGGACUGAGACACGGCCCAAACUCCUACGGGAGGCAGCAGUGGGGAAUCUUGCACAAUGGAGGAAACUCUGAUGCAGCGAUGCCGCGUGAGUGAAGAAGGCCCUUGGGUUGUAAAGCUCUUUCGUCGGGGAAGAAAAUGACUGUACCCGAAUAAGAAGGUCCGGCUAACUUCGUGCCAGCAGCCGCGGUAAUACGAAGGGACCUAGCGUAGUUCGGAAUUACUGGGCUUAAAGAGUUCGUAGGUGGUUGAAAUAGUUGGUGGUGAAAUCCCAGAGCUUAACUCUGGAACUGCCAUCAAAACUUUUCAGCUAGAGUUUGAUAGAGGAAAGCAGAAUUUCUAGUGUAGAGGUGAAAUUCGUAGAUAUUAGAAAGAAUACCAAUUGCGAAGGCAGCUUUCUGGAUCAUUACUGACACUGAGGAACGAAAGCAUGGGUAGCGAAGAGGAUUAGAUACCCUCGUAGUCCAUGCCGUAAACGAUGUGUGUUAGACGUUGGAAAUUUAUUUUCAGUGUCGCAGCGAAAGCGAUAAACACACCGCCUGGGGAGUACGACCGCAAGGUUAAAACUCAAAUGAAUUGACGGGGACCCGCACAAGUAGUGGAGCAUGUGGUUUAAUUCGAAGAUACGCGCAGAACCUUACCAACACUUGACAUGUUCGUCGCGACUUUAAGAGAUUAAAGUUUUCGGUUCGGCCGGACGAAACACAGGUGCUGCAUGGCUGUCGUCAGCUCGUGUCGUGAGAUGUUGGGUUAAGUCCCGCAACGAGCGCAACCCUCACUUUUAGUUGCCAUCAUUUAGUUGGGCACUCUGAAAGAACUGCCAGUGAUAAGCUGGAGGAAGGUGGGGAUGACGUCAAGUCCUCAUGGCCCUUACGUGUUGGGCUACACACGUGCUACAAUGGUAUUUACAACAGGAAGCAAGACGGCGACGUUAAGCAAAUCCUUAAAAAAUACCUCAGUUCGGAUUGCACUCUGCAACUCGAGUGCAUGAAGCUGGAAUUACUAGUAAUCGUGGAUCAGCGUGCCACGGUGAAUGCGUUCCCGGGUCUUGUACACACCGCCCGUCACACCAUGGGAGUUGGUUCUACCUUAAGGCAAGGUUUAAAACCCUUGACUACGGUAUAGUCAGCGACUGGGGUGAAGUCGUAACAAGGUAGCCGUA
rnacentral:rRNA from 1 species